rnacentral:rRNA from 1 species
UACGUAGGGGGCUAGCGUUGUCCGGAUUUAUUGGGCGUAAAGAGCGUGUAGGCGGCCGUACAGGUCAGCUGUGAAAACUCGAGGCUCAACCUCGAGACGUCGGUUGAAACCGUACGGCUAGAGUCCGGAAGAGGAGAGUGGAAUUCCCGGUGUAGCGGUGAAAUGCGCAGAUAUCGGGAAGAACACCCGUGGCGAAGGCGGCUCUCUGGGACGGUACUGACGCUGAGACGCGAAAGCGUGGGGAGCGAACGAGGA